AUACGGAGGGUCCGAGCGUUAAUCGGAAUUACUGGGCGUAAAGCGCGCGUAGGCGGAUAUUUAAGUCAGAUGUGAAAUCCCUGGGCUCAACCUAGGAACUGCAUUUGAAACUGGAUAUCUCGAGUAUGGUAGAGGUGAGUGGAAUUUCAGGUGUAGCGGUGAAAUGCGUAGAGAUCUGAAGGAACAUCAGUGGCGAAGGCGACUCACUGGGCCAUUACUGACGCUGAGGUGCGAAAGCGUGGGUAGCAAACAGGAUUAGAAACCCUAGUAGUCC
rnacentral:rRNA from 1 species